CCGGCACGGGUGGAGUAACACGUAUGCAAUCCACCUGUAACAGGGGGAGUAACCCGGACGAAAUACCGGACUAAUACCCACUAAUAUGGGCGCUCCGCAUGGAGAGCCCAUUAAAGAGAGCAAUUUUGGUUACAGACGAGCAUGCGCUCCAUUAGCCAGUUGGCGGGGUAACGGCCCACCAAAGCGACGAUGGAUAGGGGUUCUGAGAGGAAGGUCCCCCACAUUGGAACUGAGACACGGUCCAA
rnacentral:rRNA from 1 species